rnacentral:rRNA from 1 species
UAAGCAUGAAGCCCCCCUCAAGAUGAGAUUUCCCAUUCCGCAAGGAAGUAAGAUCCCUGAAAGAUGAUCAGGUUGAUAGGUCUGAGGUGGAAGUGUGGCGACACAUGGAGCUGACAGAUACUAAUCGAUCGAGGACUUAACCAUAUUU